UCUCUGUGAUGUUCUCAAUGGAUCCUACUGAGCCCUUUGCUGCACAGUCAUAGAAGGGCGUUUGAAGAGAUUCUGUAGCUGAGAGA